GGCCAUGUAGCUCACUGGUAGAGCGUCUGACUACGUGUCAGAAGGUAGCGGGUUCGAUUCCUGCCAUGGCUA
rnacentral:tRNA from 2 species